UUUCCGUAGGUGAACCUGCGGAAGGAUCAUUAACAAAAAGUAAAGGGGGUAAUAAUGUAUGUAGUAGUAUUACUAUAUAUAUUAUUAUUCUUUUUGACACAUUGUGCACAUUUAUAACUCUAUUGUAUAAUUUUAAUUUUAUAAUUGAAACAACUUUUAACAAUGGAUCUCUUGGCUCUU
rnacentral:misc_RNA from 1 species